ACACAUGAGACAAGAGAAGAUGGGUGUUCUCAACACAAAGUUGAGGAGUGGGAGGGGAAACAUAAGGAACAAUGGUGUUCCAUGCAGUCAAAACCGACAGAGAAUGCCAAGGGGAGCCUUAAGAGAGAGGCAGAAGAGCAGCAGGAAAAAGCACCUGUUUCCAAGCCCAGCAGUCUUCAGCCAGAUUGAUGCUCAUGCCAUCAAGGCUGGAGAGGAGACAAACAGGAUCUCUGUGUUAAUUGCCAGAAUCUGUUGGAUUUGCUUAAAUGUGGGGAGGCCUGAGCAUGAACCGACUGAGACUAUCAUAUCAGGGCAGUAUCUUACUCCAUCUAUAGAGACGGAUGAGGCAACAAGAACUGCUGUGAGACCAGGAACUCUCUGAGAGAUGACCUGUUGGACAUUCUCUGGAUUGACCAUGGAGAUGACUGAGAAAGACAGCCUGGAUAUCGAUGGAAACAGUGGAAUUAACACGAACUUUGUCUGGGAUUGCACUUCUACAGCCAG